CCAGACUCCUACGGGAGGCAGCAGUGGGGAAUAUUGCACAAUGGGGGAAACCCUGAUGCAGCGACGCCGCGUGAGUGAAGAAGUAUUUCGGUAUGUAAAGCUCUAUCAGCAGGGAAGAUAAUGACGGUACCUGACUAAGAAGCCCCGGCUAACUACGUGCCAGCAGCCGCGGUAAUACGUAGGGGGCAAGCGUUAUCCGGAUUUACUGGGUGUAAAGGGUGCGUAGGUGGCAGGGCAAGUCAGAUGUGAAAGCCCGGGGCUCAACCCCGGUACUGCAUUUGAAACUGUCCAGCUGGAGUGCAGGAGAGGUAAGCGGAAUUCCUAGUGUAGCGGUGAAAUGCGUAGAUAUUAGGAGGAACACCAGUGGCGAAGGCGGCUUACUGGACUGUAACUGACACUGAGGCACGAAAGCGUGGGGAGCAAACAGGAUUAGAUACCCUUGUAU
rnacentral:rRNA from 1 species